CGGUUAGUUGACCAUCAUUUUCCCAUUGUUGUCAUCAUUUUAAUCUUUAUGUCUGUGAUGUUUAAAGAAAGAGCUCGUAGCAUUAAUUAUUUAGGUAGGUUUGAAGAAACAAUCCCAUGCAUGUGUGUAUAUAUGUAGGUAUGUAUAUAAUAAGUACGUACAUAGUAAUGAUAUGGGGUGAAAUGAUUGUGAUGGUGUUACAGAGCUGUUGUUGAAGCUUGGGGAGAUGUGUGGGGCAACAGUGAGUGUGAGUCUGCGAUGUCAAUUGCCAACAGAGGAUCUUGACGCUUUGGUUUCGAUCACCUCCGAUGAGGAUCUGGCAAAUCUCAUCGAGGAAUACGAUCGUGUUGCAUCACCUCCAUCUUCUUUAAAGAUCAGAGCUUUCCUUUCACUACCCAAAAAAAUCUCUUCACCAACUUCUUCUUCUUCUUCAUCAUCAUCAUCGGCUUCCUCAUCGCCAAAAUCAUCAACAACAACAGCUCCAUCAACUUCUGUCACCCGCUGCCACUGUCAUGUUCCGGCAGCCGCUCCGGUUGCGUCUCCACUCUGCUUAAAAAAAUC
rnacentral:lncRNA from 1 species